GAAAGCCUGAUGCAGCGACGCCGCGUGAGGGAUGACGGCCUUCGGGUUGUAAACCUCUUUCAGCAGGGAAGAAGCGAAAGUGACGGUACCUGCAGAAGAAGCGCCGGCUAACUACGUGCCAGCAGCCGCGGUAAUACGUAGGGCGCGAGCGUUGUCCGGAAUUAUUGGGCGUAAAGAGCUCGUAGGCGGCUUGUCACGUCGGUUGUGAAAGCCCGGGGCUUAACCCCGGGUCUGCAGUCGAUACGGGCAGGCUAGAGUUCGGUAGGGGAGAUCGGAAUUCCUGGUGUAGCGGUGAAAUGCGCAGAUAUCAGGAGGAACACCGGUGGCGAAGGCGGAUCUCUGGGCCGAUACUGACGCUGAGGAGCGAAAGCGUGGGGAGCGAACAGGAUUAGAUACCCUGGUAGUCCACGCCGUAAACGGUGGGCACUAGGUGUGGGCGACAUUCCACGUCGUCCGUGCCGCAGCUAACGCAUUAAGUGCCCCGCCUGGGGAGUACGGCCGCAAGGCUAAAACUCAAAGGAAUUGACGGGGGCCCGCACAAGCGGCGGAGCAUGUGGCUUAAUUCGACGCAACGCGAAGAACCU
rnacentral:rRNA from 1 species